CUGCUUAGCCUACUCCAGCUGGCCCCACCUCACCUCAUCGGCCCCGCCUCCUCCGCUCGCCCACUCCGGGCGCCCACUCCUGAGGAGCUAUCCCAGAGUCCGCGCGGCCUCGCCUUCCCGGCCCGCUCACCACCCCGCCUCGUCCCACCUCGCCUCGCCCUCCCCGGGCUCUAGCCACUUGGUGCGGCAGGUGUCCUGCAGGCCGGCUCGAGAUUCCCGAGCUCGCCCUCGUGGUGUUCCAGGAACACGAGUCUCGCUCGGGCACCAGGCUGGAGUGCAGUGGCACGGUCUCGGCUUACUACAACCUCCGCCUUCCGGAUUCAAGUGAUUCUGCUGCCUCAGCCUCCCGAAUAGCUGGGAUUACAGAUGGAGUCUGGCUGUUAUCUCCAGGCUGGAGUGCAGUGGUGCAAUCUCGGCUCACUGCAACCUCUGAACCCCUGGUUCAAGUGAUACUCCUGCCUCAGCCUCCCAAGCAGCUGGGAUUACAGGCAUGUGCCACCACACCCAGCUAAUUUUUGUAUUUUUAGUAGAGACGGGGUUUCACCAUGUUGGCCAGGAUGCGCUCUAUCUCCUGACCUCAAGUGAUCCGCCCGCCUUGGCCUCCCAAAGUGCUAGGAUUACAGGCGUGAGACACGGCGCCCAGUUGACUGUUUUGUUUUCACUCACUCCUCCAUAUGGGUAGUUGAGGAUCACUAUGACUGUUUUUAUGUAGGCAGAAUUUUUAAGAAAACAACAUAAAUUUAGAUAUUUGUUCCGUAAAGUUACUAAAAAGUAAAUAUAUUAAAGGUGAUUGUCACAUAAGCCUUCCAAUCACAGUGCCUGUGAUUUCAUUAGACAAAACUGAACAUAUAAAAAUGUAGUUGGCUACCUGGGAGCCUGAAGCACUUUAUUUACAGAUACUUUCUUAGGGCUAACUCAAAACACAUCUAAUCAGAACCAUGCCAUAAGCUUGCCAGAGAAUGACAAUGCAUUUAAACAUCGUAAAUAGCCAAAUUUCACCUUCCCCAUUGAAGACAGCAUUUCAGAUACAAGUACAUGGCCUGGUAAUGUUUUUCCAGAAGAGAUCCUACUUGUAUCAAAGUCAGCCUGUAGCAGUGCAAACUACUGACUUAAAGUUUAGCAGCUAAAAAUAGAGUCUGAAAAGAUUCAGAAAAUUGAGUUAUUUUACCCAUGAAACAAACAUCUGCUCUUUUAGAGCAAGCAGCUCUUUAUACCUUAUGAGAAAGCUCAAGAACAAAAAAGUUAGCUUUUCAUUUUAAGGUACCAUGGUUGAUUUUAGACAGUUCUCAUAUCUUCAAAUUAUUAUCCUGGGGAAAAUUAUGCAGGACAAAAGUGUUUUUUAGAAAUAUUUAGCAAAAAUAUAUGAAUUACUGCCUUUUCAUAAUGCAGCCAGGACUUGCAUCGGAAUAUUUGAUUAUCCUAUGACCAACUCACUUAUACCUUCCACAGAAUACUAUAGCACAACGUGUAGUAUAUACAAGCUCCAGAAUGCUUGGAGAUGUACCUCACUUUAGCACUAAGUAGCUGUGUAACUUUGAGCAAGUUGUUUAACCUGUGUCUCCAUUCCUCUCGAGGAUCAUAAUAGUCUUUCUCAUGGGGUAAAAUAAUACAUGUGGAACACUCAACAAGAUGCAUGGCACACAGUAAGUACUGUAAUAAAAGUAAUUUAGAGAAACAGAAGAUACUUUGCUUAACCCAAGAUACCUUGAGGUAAAUUUAAAAGUCACAUUUUAAAUACAUUCCUAUUGUUUUUCAUACAACUAUCACUUCUGUGGUAAUCAAAUGGUGUUUAAAUAAUCUAUGUUUAUGCCUACUUACAUAGGUUAACAUAAACAGUAAAAAUAUUUUCAUUCACUACCCAAGCACAGUCUAUUGAAGGCACUUCCAACCAGCCCCUUAUCAGUAGGAAGAAUCCAACCUAGGACUAGUUUAUCAAUAGAUGUACUUUUCCAUAGAUUGUAAGCAGUUCUAAGUAGGAAAGGUUUGGCUCUCAGGAGCUUUCAGCGGGACAUUUAUAUUUGUAAAUAAAAAGGAAAUAUUCUUUGGGCAGUGUUUCAGAAUCACCUGGGAUGAUCUGCAUGAAGAUUCCUGGCCUCCACCAAAGACUUACUGAAUCAGAAAGGAGGCAAGAGGAUGAGGAAUGCUUAAGAAUCUGCAUUAACAAACUUUACAAAUGAAUCUUACAACAUACAGAAGCAUGGAAACUACUGCCUCAAGGGAUUAUCUCAACUUGAGUUUAAACAUAGGAAUUGCUGACUACCUUUAAAAUGUAAAAAUAGUAUCUUUAUGGGAGGGAUGUUGUUUGGGGGCAGCUACUAAAUAGUGAAAUCAUUCCUUUAAAAUACCCUCUCAAGUCUGCCCCAGUUAUCCAUUUUACUGGAUAGUCUUGGUAUCCAGAUGAUUUAGGGAAAAAAAUAGUAGUAGC
rnacentral:lncRNA from 1 species